rnacentral:rRNA from 1 species
GGUUAAGCGACUAAGCGUACACGGUGGAUGCCCUGGCAGUCAGAGGCGAUGAAGGACGUGCUAAUCUGCGAUAAGCGUCGGUAAGGUGAUAUGAACCGUUAUAACCGGCGAUUUCCGAAUGGGGAAACCCAGUGUGUUUCGACACACUAUCAUUAACUGAAUCCAUAGGUUAAUGAGGCGAACCGGGGGAACUGAAACAUCUAAGUACCCCGAGGAAAAGAAAUCAACCGAGAUUCCCCCAGUAGCGGCGAGCGAACGGGGAGCAGCCCAGAGCCUGAAUCAGUGUGUGUGUUAGUGGAAGCGUCUGGAAAGGCGCGCGAUACAGGGUGAUAGCCCCGUACACAAAAAUGCACAUGCUGUGAGCUCGAUGAGUAGGGCGGGACACGUGGUAUCCUGUCUGAAUAUGGGGGGACCAUCCUCCAAGGCUAAAUACUCCUGACUGACCGAUAGUGAACCAGUACCGUGAGGGAAAGGCGAAAAGAACCCCGGCGAGGGGAGUGAAAAAGAACCUGAAACCGUGUACGUACAAGCAGUGGGAGCACGCUUAGGCGUGUGACUGCGUACCUUUUGUAUAAUGGGUCAGCGACUUAUAUUCUGUAGCAAGGUUAACCGAAUAGGGGAGCCGAAGGGAAACCGAGUCUUAACUGGGCGUUAAGUUGCAGGGUAUAGACCCGAAACCCGGUGAUCUAGCCAUGGGCAGGUUGAAGGUUGGGUAACACUAACUGGAGGACCGAACCGACUAAUGUUGAAAAAUUAGCGGAUGACUUGUGGCUGGGGGUGAAAGGCCAAUCAAACCGGGAGAUAGCUGGUUCUCCCCGAAAGCUAUUUAGGUAGCGCCUCGUGAAUUCAUCUCCGGGGGUAGAGCACUGUUUCGGCAAGGGGGUCAUCCCGACUUACCAACCCGAUGCAAACUGCGAAUACCGGAGAAUGUUAUCACGGGAGACACACGGCGGGUGCUAACGUCCGUCGUGAAGAGGGAAACAACCCAGACCGCCAGCUAAGGUCCCAAAGUCAUGGUUAAGUGGGAAACGAUGUGGGAAGGCCCAGACAGCCAGGAUGUUGGCUUAGAAGCAGCCAUCAUUUAAAGAAAGCGUAAUAGCUCACUGGUCGAGUCGGCCUGCGCGGAAGAUGUAACGGGGCUAAACCAUGCACCGAAGCUGCGGCAGCGACACUAUGUGUUGUUGGGUAGGGGAGCGUUCUGUAAGCCUGUGAAGGUGUGCUGUGAGGCAUGCUGGAGGUAUCAGAAGUGCGAAUGCUGACAUAAGUAACGAUAAAGCGGGUGAAAAGCCCGCUCGCCGGAAGACCAAGGGUUCCUGUCCAACGUUAAUCGGGGCAGGGUGAGUCGACCCCUAAGGCGAGGCCGAAAGGCGUAGUCGAUGGGAAACAGGUUAAUAUUCCUGUACUUGGUGUUACUGCGAAGGGGGGACGGAGAAGGCUAUGUUGGCCGGGCGACGGUUGUCCCGGUUUAAGCGUGUAGGCUGGUUUUCCAGGCAAAUCCGGAAAAUCAAGGCUGAGGCGUGAUGACGAGGCACUACGGUGCUGAAGCAACAAAUGCCCUGCUUCCAGGAAAAGCCUCUAAGCAUCAGGUAACAUCAAAUCGUACCCCAAACCGACACAGGUGGUCAGGUAGAGAAUACCAAGGCGCUUGAGAGAACUCGGGUGAAGGAACUAGGCAAAAUGGUGCCGUAACUUCGGGAGAAGGCACGCUGAUAUGUAGGUGAAGCGACUUGCUCGUGGAGCUGAAAUCAGUCGAAGAUACCAGCUGGCUGCAACUGUUUAUUAAAAACACAGCACUGUGCAAACACGAAAGUGGACGUAUACGGUGUGACGCCUGCCCGGUGCCGGAAGGUUAAUUGAUGGGGUCAGCGCAAGCGAAGCUCUUGAUCGAAGCCCCGGUAAACGGCGGCCGUAACUAUAACGGUCCUAAGGUAGCGAAAUUCCUUGUCGGGUAAGUUCCGACCUGCACGAAUGGCGUAAUGAUGGCCAGGCUGUCUCCACCCGAGACUCAGUGAAAUUGAACUCGCUGUGAAGAUGCAGUGUACCCGCGGCAAGACGGAAAGACCCCGUGAACCUUUACUAUAGCUUGACACUGAACAUUGAGCCUUGAUGUGUAGGAUAGGUGGGAGGCUUUGAAGUGUGGACGCCAGUCUGCAUGGAGCCGACCUUGAAAUACCACCCUUUAAUGUUUGAUGUUCUAACGUUGACCCGUAAUCCGGGUUGCGGACAGUGUCUGGUGGGUAGUUUGACUGGGGCGGUCUCCUCCUAAAGAGUAACGGAGGAGCACGAAGGUUGGCUAAUCCUGGUCGGACAUCAGGAGGUUAGUGCAAUGGCAUAAGCCAGCUUGACUGCGAGCGUGACGGCGCGAGCAGGUGCGAAAGCAGGUCAUAGUGAUCCGGUGGUUCUGAAUGGAAGGGCCAUCGCUCAACGGAUAAAAGGUACUCCGGGGAUAACAGGCUGAUACCGCCCAAGAGUUCAUAUCGACGGCGGUGUUUGGCACCUCGAUGUCGGCUCAUCACAUCCUGGGGCUGAAGUAGGUCCCAAGGGUAUGGCUGUUCGCCAUUUAAAGUGGUACGCGAGCUGGGUUUAGAACGUCGUGAGACAGUUCGGUCCCUAUCUGCCGUGGGCGCUGGAGAACUGAGGGGGGCUGCUCCUAGUACGAGAGGACCGGAGUGGACGCAUCACUGGUGUUCGGGUUGUCAUGCCAAUGGCACUGCCCGGUAGCUAAAUGCGGAAGAGAUAAGUGCUGAAAGCAUCUAAGCACGAAACUUGCCCCGAGAUGAGUUCUCCCUGACCCUUUAAGGGUCCUGAAGGAACGUUGAAGACGACGACGUUGAUAGGCCGGGUGUGUAAGCGCAGCGAUGCGUUGAGCUAACCGGUACUAAUGAACCGUGAGGCUUAACCUU